rnacentral:rRNA from 1 species
UGGGGAAUUUUGGACAAUGGGCGAAAGCCUGAUCCAGCCAUUCCGCGUGAGUGAAGAAGGCCUUCGGGUUGUAAAGCUCUUUCGGCAGGAACGAAACGGGUCAUGUUAAUACCAUGGCCUACUGACGGUACCUGAAGAAGAAGCACCGGCUAACUACGUGCCAGCAGCCGCGGUAAUACGUAGGGUGCGAGCGUUAAUCGGAAUUACUGGGCGUAAAGCGUGCGCAGGCGGUUUCAUAAGACAGGUGUGAAAUCCCCGGGCUUAACCUGGGAAUGGCGCUUGUUACUGUGAGGCUAGAGUGUGUCAGAGGGAGGUAGAAUUCCACGUGUAGCAGUGAAAUGCGUAGAGAUGUGGAGGAAUACCGAUGGCGAAGGCAGCCUCCUGGGAUAGCACUGACGCUCAGGCACGAAAGCGUGGGGAGCAAACAG